GACGAACGCUGGCGGCGUGCUUAACACAUGCAAGUCGAACGGAAAGGCCCUGCUUGCAGGGUACUCGAGUGGCGAACGGGUGAGUAACACGUGGGUGAUCUGCCCUGCACUUCGGGAUAAGCUUGGGAAACUGGGUCUAAUACCGGAUAGGAGCCAUCUUUAGUGUGGUGGUUGGAAAGUUUUUUCGGUGUAGGAUGAGCUCGCGGCCUAUCAGCUUGUUGGUGGGGUAAUGGCCUACCAAGGCGGCGACGGGUAGCCGGCCUGAGAGGGUGUACGGCCACAUUGGGACUGAGAUACGGCCCAGACUCCUACGGGAGGCAGCAGGGGGGAAUAUUGCACAAUGGGCGCAAGCCUGAUGCAGCGACGCCGCGUGGGGGAGGAAGGCCUUCGGGUUGUAAACUCCUUUCGCUAGGGACGAAGCUUUUUGUGACGGUACCUAGAUAAGAAGCACCGGCUAACUACGUG
rnacentral:rRNA from 1 species